rnacentral:tRNA from 2 species
GCACCCGUAGCUCAGUUGGAUAGAGUGUCGCCCUCCGAAGGCGAAGGUCACAGGUUCAAUUCCUGUCGGGUGCGCCA